GGUCGAUUAGCUUAGUUGGUAGAGCGUGGUACUAAUAGUUUGACUGUCAAUGCCGAGGUCAUGGGUUCGAGCCCCAUAUGGACCA
rnacentral:tRNA from 1 species